rnacentral:rRNA from 1 species
AAUCAACGCUGGCGGCGUGCCUCAGACAUGCAAGUCGAACGAUUAAGACUUCCUUCGGGAAGUGUAUAAAGUGGCGCACGGGUGAGUAACACGUAAGUAAUCUACCUUCGAGUGGGGAAUAACGUUCGGAAACGAACGCUAAUACCGCAUAAUGCAGCGGCACCUAGUGGUGACAGUUGUUAAAGGAGCAAUUCGCUUGAAGAGGAGCUUGCGGCAGAUUAGCUAGUUGGUAAGGUAAUGGCUUACCAAGGCUACGAUCUGUAACCGGUCUAAGAGGACGGUCGGUCACACUGAAACUGAAUAACGGGUCAGACUCCUACGGGAGGCAGCAGUCGGGAAUUUUGGGCAAUGGGCGAAAGCCUGACCCAGCAACGCCGCGUGAAGGAUGAAGUAUUUCGGUAUGUAAACUUCGAAAGAAUGGGAAGAAUCAAUGACGGUACCAUUUAUAAGGUCCGGCUAACUACGUGCCAGCAGCCGCCGUAACAC